GACGAACGCUGGCGGCGUGCCUAAUACAUGCAAGUAGAACGCUGAAGGAGGAGCUUGCUCUUCUGGAUGAGUUGCGAACGGGUGAGUAACGCGUAGGUAACCUGCCUGGUAGCGGGGGAUAACUAUUGGAAACGAUAGCUAAUACCGCAUAAUAGCAGUUGUUGCAUGACAACUGUUUGAAUGGUGCAAUUGCACCACUACCAGAUGGACCUGCGUUGUAUUAGCUAGUUGGUGGGGUAACGGCUCACCAAGGCGACGAUACAUAGCCGACCUGAGAGGGUGAUCGGCCACACUGGGACUGAGACACGGCCCAGACUCCUACGGGAGGCAGCAGUAGGGAAUCUUCGGCAAUGGACGGAAGUCUGACCGAGCAACGCCGCGUGAGUGAAGAAGGUUUUCGGAUCGUAAAGCUCUGUUGUAAGAGAAGAACGAGUGUGAGAGUGGAAAGUUCACACUGUGACGGUAUCUUACCAGAAAGGGACGGCUAACUACGUGCCAGCAGCCGCGGUAAUACGUAGGUCCCGAGCGUUGUCCGGAUUUAUUGGGCGUAAAGCGAGCGCAGGCGGUUAGAUAAGUCUGAAGUUAAAGGCUGUGGCUUAACCAUAGUACGCUUUGGAAACUGUUUAACUUGAGUGCAAGAGGGGAGAGUGGAAUUCCAUGUGUAGCGGUGAAAUGCGUAGAUAUAUGGAGGAACACCGGUGGCGAAAGCGGCUCUCUGGCUUGUAACUGACGCUGAGGCUCGAAAGCGUGGGGAGCAAACAGG
rnacentral:rRNA from 1 species